rnacentral:rRNA from 1 species
UACGAAGGGGGCUAGCGUUGCUCGGAAUUACUGGGCGUAAAGGGCGCGUAGGCGGACAGUUUAGUCAGAGGUGAAAGCCCGAGGCUCAACCUCGGAACUGCCUUCGAUACUGCGGGUCUCGAGUCCGGGAGAGGUGAGUGGAAUUCCUAGUGUAGAGGUGAAAUUCGUAGAUAUUAGGAAGAACACCAAUGGCGAAGGCGGCGCACUGGCCCGGUACUGACGCUGAGGCGCGAAAGCGUGGGGAGCAAACAGG